UCUGCAGCAGAGGGUUCUGUUCGCGCGCGAUUCGCGGCGCGAACUGGGCAGGAUUGAGAGGAGUUCUGUAAUUCAUUGUUCGCGGCGCGAACCCUGCUUCGCGGCGCGUACUGAAGCGAAAUAAGUUGUUCGCGACGCGAUCCUUCGUUCGCGGCGCGAACUGUGUUGUAUUGGAGGAGUUCGCGGCGCGUCCCUAUGUUGGCGGCGCGAACUGGAGAAAUG
rnacentral:lncRNA from 1 species